rnacentral:rRNA from 1 species
UACGAAGGGGGCUAGCGUUGCUCGGAAUCACUGGGCGUAAAGGGUGCGUAGGCGGGUCUUUAAGUUAGAGGUGAAAGCCCGGGGCUCAACUCCGGAAUUGCCUUUAAGACUGCAUCGCUAGAAUUGUGGAGAGGUGAGUGGAAUUCCGAGUGUAGAGGUGAAAUUCGUAGAUAUCGAGAGGAACACCGGUGGCGAAGGCGGCCUUCUGGACAGUGACUGACGCUGAGACGCGAAAGCGUGGGGAGCAAACAGG